GAUCACCUUGGACAUCUGGAGCCUGGCAGGAGCGGACCCACAGAGGGGCUAGCUUGGGGAGGGCCGCGGGGCGCCCGGGAGCCUUUUGGGGAUCAUUUUUUGCUCCCGGGCGCCCCGCAGGCCGGGCAACAUCUGCGUGGGAGGGUGAAAGACCCAAGCUAGCAGCACGGAGGAGAAGAGGGGGGAGCCAGGCAUUCAUCCCGGUCAAUUUUGGUUUCAGGUCGUGGCGGCUGGUGGACAGGGGGCUUCUGGAGAGAGGCUCGCCCCGGGGCAGGGGCAACGGAGGCGUAGCUGGCAGCCACGGGCAGGUGAAGACAGCGCUCUGCCGGCCAGGUGAGUCCCCUUCUCCUCGCUGGGCCUUGCUCUCCUGGCCUCCUGCAGAAGGAGGUUCUGGGGAGCGUGGGCCAGCGAGGUGGAGAGGCUGGCCUCCCGGCAGAGCAGCAAGACACAGGCUGGUCAGGCAGCACAGGUGAUACCGUCUCAGGGGGAGCUGAGACAGGGCGGGCUGGGGGGCCGCGGGCCGCCCCGGGUGGCAAGGGCAUUUCCAGAGAGUCAGGUGGGACAAGCAGGAAGGGCUGCCAGCACGUGCAGGGGGCACUCAGGCCCCCGGAGCGAGCAGGACAGGGCGGGGACUCAGGACAGAGGGGUUCCCAGCCGCCACUUCACCCACUGCAAUUCACUUAGUAGCAGGUCACAGGAGCGGCUCCGGCCAGGCGUCCUCAGGCCUGAGCCGGAGCCUCGAGGGCCGGAGAAUGAGAGAGAAGGCAGCGCAGUGCGCGGGCAACCGCGGCGGGAUGUCAUCUGGGGGGCGGUGGCCGCGGGACAGGCCCGGAGAGAUACCCGCAGCAGGGAGGCUGCACGGGCCCAGCCCGUGGACGCCAGCCCCACGCGGCACUGCGGCCCAGGGGCCACGCGGGAGGGCCCCAGUGCACUUGGGGACACUGGGGACACUUGACCCGAAACGCUGGCCCCUGGGAUGGGCAUGAUAGACAGGACAGUACCCAGGGGAGCCAAGGACACGGGCGAGACCAGGCUAGGCGGGGCGGGCGGGGUGGCAUGAGUGUGCGCUCUCGGGGGAAGGGAGGUCAGGGCACAGGCAGGGGCGAGGGGCCGGAGCCGGGCACCGAGCCAGUGGGAGGGGCACUGGACUUCGAGCCCGUGGCCAAGGCGGGCCUCUGCGGGCGAUGACGGAGCGGGAUCGGUGCCUCUGAGCUCGGACCGGAGACGAAGCCACGUCUCCAGUGGGGUGGUGGUGCCUGCCAGCCACGGAGGCCCGGCGGCCAGGACGCGCACAGAGGGAUAUGAUAUGGUCCGGUGUGAUGGAGAGAGCAGGCGGGACCGUCCGGCCUCCCAGAGCGCUGGCCCCGCGGGGAGCCGGGAUAUCGCCGUUCCUUUAGCCUCCUGACGGAGCAGACGCUACUGCUGCUCUUCAGACACCCAGAACCCUCAAGAUGACAAGAAAUGGUGCUACCCAGCUCAUGCCUGGGACUUGGAACUUGGACUUCUUCAAGUCUUUCUAGCUCUGACUCGAGAAUAUGCUGCAUUUUGGAACCACUACACACCUUAACUCAGGAAUCAGCUCUGGAAGGUUGACCUAAAGGAACGGACGGCCCACACCACCGGAAGAGCGGCGCCCGCGGCGACACCCACCCCGGCCCGGCGACUCCAUCUCUGCGGCCACCCCCUGCCCCAGCCCCGAGACCACCAACAGCCUCCCUCCCUCCUUUCCCUCCUUUUCUGUCUCUGUCUUCUGACCUUCUCUCUGCUGUCCUUUGCUCAGGAGACUCAGAGCACCCAGAGCCCCGUCCCCCCGUCCCCCUUGAAUUAAUUUGCACUAAAAGUCGUUUGCACUGGUUGGGGUUCUGGAGCCAGCCCUGGUCUCUGAGCGUGUGUAAGCGCGUGUAUGUGCCAACUGCUGAAUGUGUAGGCCUCCUCGGCCCGUGCCCCCCGCCCAGCACCCUACCCACCCUCGUGGGUGACUGGGAGGGGGCCCGAGUGGGGGGGCCCGAGUGUGAGGGGCCCCGCCCUCCCACACCUAGUCUGGAGGCUCCAAACAUCGGGAGCACGGCACCAAGCAUUCCACUGUGUGCCCAUCUUGCCCUGUGUCCCUCCCUGCCAGGGCCUCCUCAGAUGCCCUGGACUCAUCAAUAAACUCAGUUACAGGAA